GGCCUAGUAGCUUAACGGUAAAGCGCUCCAAAGGCUGCAACUUGGUUAAAAAUCAACGACCAAGUGCAAAUAAAGCCGUAACUAGAGAUGUAGGUCCGAACCCUGCCUUGGCUA